UCUUAUCAAGAGCGGCGGAGGGAAAGGCCCUGUGAUGCCCAGCAACCUGGUGAAAAUUAAGGUGCUAAUUCCUUCGGAUUAAUCCAUGUGGUUGCCCGAAAGAUAAG
rnacentral:ncRNA from 1 species